rfam:Rahnella aquatilis CIP 78.65 = ATCC 33071, complete genome.
ACUUCCUGAGCCGGAACGAAAAGUAGAUUGGUAUGAGGAUGCUGAAAUACUUUUGGCUUGUGGUUGUGAUGUUGUGUUUGCAAUUGUCUGGCAAUCCAGACGCGUAGCUUGAAUGCUACAAACUUUUCACUUCCUGUACAUUACCCUGUCUGUCCAAAGUGAUUUUUUAGCACCGCAAUUUGCGGUGCUUUUUUUU